rnacentral:rRNA from 1 species
CACGGGGUUGCGAGCGUUGUCCGGAAUUACUAGGCGUAAAGGGCAGGCAGGCGGAUCCAUAAGUUUAUCGUUUAAGGCGUCGGCUUAACCGGCGUAGGGCGGUAGAUACUGUGGAUCUGGAAUGCGGUUGGGGAAGACAGAAUUCCUGGUGUAGCGGUGGAAUGCGCAGAGAUCAGGAGGAAUACCGAAGGCGAAGGCAGUCUUCCAAGCCGUUAUUGACGCUCAACUGCGAAGGUGUGGGUAUCAAACAGGAUUAGAUACCCGGGUAGUCCCUGAG